rnacentral:rRNA from 1 species
AUUGAACGCUGGCGGCAUGCCUUACACAUGCAAGUCGAACGGCAGCACGGGAGCUUGCUCCUGGUGGCGAGUGGCGAACAGGUGAGUAAUACAUCGGAACGUACCCAGGAGUGGGGGAUAACGUAGCGAAAGUUACGUUAAUACCGCAUAUUCUGUGAGCAGGAAAGCGGGGGAUCGCAAGACCUCGCGCUCUUGGAGCGGCCGAUGUCGGAUUAGCUAGUUGGUGAGGUAAAAGCUCACCAAGGCGACGAUCCGUAGCAGGUCUGAGAGGAUGAUCUGCCACACUGGGACUGAGACACGGCCCAGACUCCUACGGGAGGCAGCAGUGGGGAAUUUUGGACAAUGGGGGCAACCCUGAUUCAGCCAUGCCGCGUGAGUGAAGAAGGCCUUCGGGUUGUAAAGCUCUUUCGGCGGGGAAGAAAUGGCAACGGCUAAUAUCCGUUGUUGAUGACGGUACCCGCAUAAGAAGCACCGGCUAACUACGUGCCAGCCGCCGCCGUAAAAC